UCCUCAUAAGUUCGACAAUAGGAGGUACCAUGAAUCUUUAUAUUUUAAUAGCUCCUGUUAAUUUAUAUAUAUGGUGAUACAAAAUCGGAAGCCCCGACUGUUUACUAAAAACACAGCUGUCUGCAAUUACGAAAGUAAUAGUAUAGAUAGCGAGAUUUGCCCAAUGCCACGCGUAUAAGUAAAAUAAUGGGUAACUGUUUCUUUACAAACAGGUGGUUAAUAGCGGUCUUAACUAUGAGGAUCCUAAGGUAGCAAAAUAAGUUGGCCAUUAAAUGUGGUCCGGUAUCAAUAAUUUAACGAUGGCUUCACUGUCUCUACAACUUGCUCAGUGAAAUUGAAUUACCCGUGCAGAUGCGGGUUGCCUCAAAGAGGACGGGAAGACCCUAUGC
rnacentral:rRNA from 1 species